GACAGAGGGGGCUAGCGUUGUCCGGAUUCAUUGGGCGUAAAGAGCGUGUAGGCGGCCAGGUAGGUCGGUUGUGAAAACUGGAGGCUCAACCUUCAGACGUCGACCGAAACCCCCUGGCUAGAGUCCGGGAGAGGAGAGUGGAAUUCCUGGUGUAGCGGUGGAAUGCGCAGAUAUCAGGAAGAACACCCGUGGCGAAAGCGGCUCUCUGGAACGGUACUGACGCUGAGACGCGAAAGCGUGGGGAGCGAACAGG
rnacentral:rRNA from 1 species